AAGUCGUAACAAGGUUUCCGUAGGUGAACCUGCGGAAGGAUCAUUAAAAGAGUACGGGGCUCGCCCCCGACGCUCCAACCCCAUGAGUAUCCUCCUUCGUUGCUUCGGCGGGUCGACGUCCGUCGUCGCCGGCGAGUUUCGCCGGAAAGCACCCGCCGAAGGACCCUUCAAAACCUGCUUAUCCGUGUCGUCUGAAGCUAUCGUUUAAAAGUCAAAACUUUCAACAACGGAUCUCUUGGUUCUG
rnacentral:misc_RNA from 1 species